ACCCACUCUCCUUUAUGGUUACAUUGUUUCCAUUAGUCAUGUGGUAUUUGUAAAUUACAAUUCAAAUUGUCAUGAUAAAUUUCAAUAAAUGACAUCUGCAUAAAUGAGAGGUCAUUUAAUGUUCCAUUGGUAUUUCAUAUGAUUAGCACUUUUCUUGGAUGUAAGACUAACUACAUAAUCGACAUAGCAUCUUAUAUCAUUGUUCAUAGUAGUUCUUGAGCCAUCUAUUUAUAUUGGAACUAUUCACUUAUGGUGUUAUGUUGCUAUUUCCAUCAUUCAUUUUUCUAGUCAAACUGUGAGCCUGAGAGUAUAUUAAGGUUUGCUUAGAAAUGUCUAGCAUAUUAUAUUGCUAGACUGAUAUAGGAUAAGUUUCUCCCCAUGUUUUUCUUCCAGAGGUGACUUACUAGAGAGUUUGAGUUUUUUUUGUUGCUGUCCUAUGCUUGGAGAUGCUCUUUUCUAGCAUAUUACUAGUUAUGAAAGAUGUCUAAGAGAGGUUGCUCGGUCACCUAAUGGAAAUAUUAAUUAGGAGAAAAAUAUUCACUGGAAGGUGUCUAAGAGAGGCUGGUCAUCUUUUGCAUUUAAUGCGACUAACUGUUUAGCGAAGUACUUGUUCUGAGCAGUUUACUUAUCAUAGCCAUGAAUGAGUCUUGACCAUCUAGAAUGUUGUAUGUAUCACACAAGAAAGUAAAAUAUGGUCCGUCUUAAAAGUUUGUCUUUCGUGUCUGUGGGCUUUACAUGAUCCUCAAGGUGUUGGUGAUUAGGUAAAUUUUCAUGAAGACUUUGAAUAUGGCACUCUGGUGUGAACUGUUCUUUCUUUAGGUGUUGAUUAAUUGCAACCUUCCUGGCCAUUAAGAAAUCUAUUUUGUAUUGUUUUGUUAGUGUUGUCUAGGCAUGUUCCUAGGUGUGCUUGCACCUUGGCACUAUACAACAAAAGUGCCUUAGACCUUUUUGAGUGAACCUCAUUUGGGUGCACCUAGGCAAUCUUUUUUGUAAGGCAAUAGGUGCAAAAAAAGAAAGGCUUACUUGAUUGUAGUUCUCUUUAAUUUAAUUUUUUUCUCACUUAUUCAUUAGAUGUACCUUUCCUAGUAAUAAAGAGAGUGUACCAAACCCUCUACUUCUUAGUAUUUGAAAAUCAAAUAGAAAACCUUGAACAUAAGGAAAUCUUCCAUAUUGAACCAAAAUAACUACAUAUGUCAAUCAUCUUUUAGAGAAAUUAGUCCACAUUCACACACAUACUGUGCUUUACUUUCACUUGGAUUUUUUUUCUUUUUUGCAACUUGUCUCUGAGUCCAUGUAAAGGGUCUAAUGUAGAACAACAGGAAAGGCUGCUUGAUCAUUAGCAUCCAUUUUGCACUUCUCUUUUGUGAUAUGCAUGUGGUCUAUUAUCUAGCUACCCAACAUUCAAAAUCUUGCAUUGAUCCUAUUUUGCAGAUAUUCUGUAUGAUAGCUGGUCCCCAGCCAUGACUGUAAGUUCUAUCUGCAUCAGCAUUCUCUCUAUGUUAUCAAGCUCAACUGCCAAGCAAAGAACUGUCGCAAUGGCAGGUCUCCCAAGGAGACGAGAUGGUUGUUCCAUGACGAUAAAGUAUAAUAAUAUGAACCUAUCAUCUAUAAUCUGUGUAUAAAAACUGAGGUUACAGGGAUAGGUAAUCGUUUACAUUUGUCACGUUGUGUAUGAAACUAUGACUUAAAUGUAGAUUUAUUUUGAAUAUUGUUACCUAAUGCAAGAAGCAGACUGAACAAUAUAAACCUUUCUUUUCUUCUAUUCCAGUUAUGCAUACACUUUGUUGUUUGUUU